GGUCCGCUGGCGUAAUGGCAGCGCGUCUGACUACGAUUAUCUAAUCACACAAUCAGGAGGUUCCAGGUUCGACCCCUGGGCGGAUCG